rnacentral:rRNA from 1 species
UUUUUUGAGAGUUUGAUCCUGGCUCAGGAUGAACGCUGGCAGCGUGGAUAAGGCAUGCAAGUCGAUCCGCUUUGAGCGGAGGCAAACGGGCUAGUAACGCGCGAGAAUCUACCCUAAAGUUCGGCAUAACCCGAAGAAAUUCGGGAUAAUUCCGGAUGUGCUCUUUGGAGUAAAGAUUUAUUGACUUUAUGUUAAUACGUCGCUUUAGGAUGAGCUCACGUACUAUCAGCUUGUUGGUAGAGUAAAAGCCUACCAAGGCUAUGACGGUUAAGGGGUGUGAGAGCAUGACCCCUAGCAUUGGCACUGAAACACUGGCCAAACACCUACGGGUGGCUGCAGUCGAGAAUCUUCCACAAUGGGGGAAACCCUGAUGGAGCGACGCUGCGUGCGGGAUGAAGGCCUUCGGGUUGUAAACCGCUUUUGUAGGGGACGAAAUUAUUGACGGUACCCUUUCGAAUAAGAGGUUGCUAAC